UCCGAGCCGAACGAUCCCAAUGCCAUGGCGCUCGCCACCGUGGACCCCGACGGGCUGCCGGAUGUGCGGAUGGUGCUGCUGAAGGGCUUCGAUACCGCCGGUUUUGUGUUUUACAGCCACAUCGACAGCGCAAAGGGCCGGGAGCUCGCCGCCACCCCCAAAGCCGCGCUGCUGUUUCACUGGAAGUCGCUGCGCCGGCAGGUCCGCAUCCGCGGGACGGUGAGCCGGGUCACCGACGCCGAGGCCGAUGCCUAUUUCGCGA
rnacentral:misc_RNA from 1 species